rnacentral:rRNA from 1 species
AGUCGAACGAGAUCUUCGGAUCUAGUGGCGCACGGGUGCGUAACGCGUGGGAAUCUGCCCUUUGGUUCGGAAUAACAGUUGGAAACGACUGCUAAUACCGGAUGAUGACGUAAGUCCAAAGAUUUAUCGCCAGAGGAUGAGCCCGCGUAGGAUUAGCUAGUUGGUGUGGUAAGAGCGCACCAAGGCGACGAUCCUUAGCUGGUCUGAGAGGAUGAUCAGCCACACUGGGACUGAGACACGGCCCAGACUCCUACGGGAGGCAGCAGUGGGGAAUAUUGGACAAUGGGCGAAAGCCUGAUCCAGCAAUGCCGCGUGAGUGAUGAAGGCCUUAGGGUUGUAAAGCUCUUUUACCCGGGAUGAUAAUGACAGUACCGGGAGAAUAAGCUCCGGCUAACUCCGUGCCAGCAGCCGCGGUAAUACGGAGGGAGCUAGCGUUGUUCGGAAUUACUGGGCGUAAAGCGCACGUAGGCGGCUUUGUAAGUUAGAGGUGAAAGCCUGGAGCUCACCUCCAGAAUUGCCUUUAAGACUGCAUCGCUUGAAUCCAGGAGAGGUGAGUGGAAUUCCGAGUGUAGAGGUGAAAUUCGUAGAUAUUCGGAAAAACACCAGUGGCAAAGGCGGCUCACUGGACUGGUAUUGACGCUGAGG